AUUGAACGCUGGCGGCAUGCCUUACACAUGCAAGUCGAACGGCAGCACGGGGCAACCUGGUGGCGAGUGGCGAACGGGUGAGUAAUGCAUCGGAACGUGCCAUUGAGUGGGGGAUAACGUAGCGAAAGUUGCGCUAAUACCGCAUAUUCUGUGAGCAGGAAAGCAGGGGACCGCAAGGCCCUUGCGCUCUUUGAGCGGCCGAUGUCAGAUUAGCUAGUUGGUGAGGUAACGGCUUACCAAGGCGACGAUCUGUAGCGGGUCUGAGAGGAUGAUCCGCCACACUGGAACUGAGACACGGUCCAGACUCCUACGGGAGGCAGCAUGGGGAAUUUUGGACAAUGGGCGCAAGCCUGAUCCAGCCAUGCCGCGUGAGUGAAGAAGGCCUUCGGGUUGUUAAAGGACU
rnacentral:rRNA from 1 species